rnacentral:rRNA from 1 species
GAUGAACGCUGGCGGCGUGCCUAAUACAUGCAAGUCGAGCGAACAGACGAGGAGCUUGCUCCUCUGACGUUAGCGGCGGACGGGUGAGUAACACGUGGAUAACCUACCUAUAAGACUGGGAUAACUUCGGGAAACCGGAGCUAAUACCGGAUAAUAUAUUGAACCGCAUGGUUCAAUAGUGAAAGACGGUUUUGCUGUCACUUAUAGAUGGAUCCGCGCCGCAUUAGCUAGUUGGUAAGGUAACGGCUUACCAAGGCAACGAUGCGUAGCCGACCUGAGAGGGUGAUCGGCCACACUGGAACGGAGACACGGUCCAGACUCCUACGGGAGGCAGAAGUGGGAAAUCUUCCGAAAUGGGCGAAAGCCGGACGGAGCAACGCCGCGUGAGUGAUGAAGGUCUUCGGAUCGUAAAACUCUGUUAUUAGGAAAGAACAAAUGUGUAAGUAACGAUGCACGUCUUGACGGUACCUAAACAGAAAGCCACGGCUAACUACGU